GACGAACGCUGGCGGCGUGCCUAAUACAUGCAAGUCGAACGCUGAAGGAGGAGCUUGCUUCUCCGGAUGAGUUGCGAACGGGUGAGUAACGCGUAGGUAACCUGCCUGGUAGCGGGGGAUAACUAUUGGAAACGAUAGCUAAUACCGCAUAACAGUAGAUAUUGCAUGAUAUCUGCUUGAAAGGUGCAAUUUCAUCACUACCAGAUGGACCUGCGUUGUAUUAGCUAGUUGGUGAGGUAACGGCUCACCAAGGCGACGAUACAUAGCCGACCUGGGAGGGUGAUCGGCCACACUGGGACUGAGACACGGCCCAGACUCCUACCGGAGGCAGCAGUAGGGAAUCUUCGGCAAUUGACGGAAGUCUGACCGAGCAACGCCGCGGGAGUGAAGAAGGGUUUCGGAUCGUAAAGCUCUGUUGUAAGAGAAGAACGAGUGUGAGAGUGGAAAGUUCACACUGUGACGGUAUCUUACCAGAAAGGGACGGCUAACUACGUG
rnacentral:rRNA from 1 species